GUCGAACGAGGAUCUUCGGAUUCUAGUGGCGGACGGGUGAGUAACGCGUGAGAAUCUGCCUUCAGGUCUGGGAUAACAGCUGGAAACGGUUGCUAAUACCGGAUGAGCCGAGAGGUAAAAGCUUUAGUGCCUGANGAUGAGCUCGCGUCUGAUUAGCUAGUUGGUGGGGUAAGAGCCUACCAAGGCGGUGAUCAGUAGCUGGUCUGAGAGGAUGAUCAGCCACCACUGGGACUGAGACACGGCCCAGACUCCUACGGGAGGCAGCAGUGGGGAAUUUUCCGCAAUGGGCGAAAGCCUGACGGAGCAACGCCCGCGUGAGGGAGGAAUGCCUGUGGGUUGUAAACCUCUUUUCUCAGGGAAGAAGAUCUGACGGUACCUGAGGAAUCAGCAUCGGCUAACUCCGUGCCAGCAGCCGCGGUAAUACGGAGGAUGCAAGCGUUAUCCGGAUUUAUUGGGCGUAAAGCGUCCGUAGGUGGCUUUAUAAGUCUGCUGUCAAAGCCCACAGCUUAACUGUGGAUCGGCAGUGGAAACUAUAGAGCUUGAGUGCGGUAGGGGCAGAGGGAAUUCCCAGUGUAGCGGUGAAAUGCGUAGAUAUUGGGAAGAACACCGGUGGCGAAAGCGCUCUGCUAGGCCGCAACUGACACUGAGGGACGAAAGCUAGGGGAGCGAAAGGGAUUAGAUAC
rnacentral:rRNA from 1 species